rnacentral:miRNA from 1 species
UCAUGAGCAUUGUGGAUGAUC